GAAGCCGGUGCGAUUCCGGCGCUGGCCCGCAACCGUGACCCGCCCGGGCCCCCUCCGGGCGGGGAGCCGGA
rnacentral:ncRNA from 1 species